CGCACUUUCUAUAUUUUGAGUUGUGACGUCACUAGUUUGACUCGAAAUUGUGGCAAUAACAAGAAAAUCUGAUAUCUUGAUGAUCGUUCAAUAAAAUUCAAUGAAACUUGGCACACCAAGUGAGUGCAACGAAUUGAACAACUUGGCUUGUUUAUACGGUUGUCAUGGCAAAACACCUAUCCCCAGUCCCUUUUCUUCCGAUUUCUAUAUGAUCCAUUUCCACCGAAAUAAAUAUAAACUAUAAUACGUCUAGGUGUUGUGAUCAGUUUAAACCGUUAUAACAUGCAAACAUUUUCUGCAGGAGGUCUACAGGAGGAAAUUUUUGAAAAGGAAGAUAUGAGAGACUGGGGUCUAAUGUGUUGCCAUGACAACCACAUGACCUACCAAAAAUAUUCAUAUGGGUGCACCCACUAAGUGUACCAAGUUUCAUUGAAUUUUAUUAUAAAUAUUCACCAAGAUUCACACUUCC